rnacentral:tRNA from 1 species
AGCUGUGGAUAUCGAAAAAGGGCCGUUCAUCGUCUGUGUGGAUGCCUCUGGCUCGAUGAGUGGUUUCCCUG